rnacentral:rRNA from 1 species
UACGUAGGGUGCAAGCGUUGUCCGGAAUUAUUGGGCGUAAAGAGCUCGUAGGCGGUCUGUCGCGUCGGCUGUGAAAACCCGGGGGCUCAACCCCGGGCCUGCAGUCGAUACGGGCAGACUAGAGUGUGGUAGGGGAGACUGGAAUUCCUGGUGUAGCGGUGAAAUGCGCAGAUAUCAGGAGGAACACCGGUGGCGAAGGCGGGUCUCUGGGCCAUAACUGACGCUGAGGAGCGAAAGCGUGGGGAGCGAACAGG